rnacentral:rRNA from 1 species
GUGUCAGCCGCCGCGGUAAUACAGAGGUGGCAAGCGUUGUUCGGAAUUACUGGGCGUAAAGGGCGAGUAGGCGGCUUCCUAAGUCAGACGUGAAAUCCCCCGGCUUAACCUGGGAACUGCGUCUGAUACUGGGAGGCUAGAGUAUGGGAGAGGGAGGUAGAAUUCCAGGUGUAGCGGUGAAAUGCGUAGAUAUCUGGAGGAAUACCGGUGGCGAAGGCGGCCUCCUGGACCAUAACUGACGCUGAUCCGCGAAAGCUAGGGGAGCAAACGGGAUUAGAUACCCCCGUAGUCC